rnacentral:rRNA from 1 species
UACGUAGGGAGCAAGCGUUGUCCGGAAUCAUUGGGCGUAAAGCGCGCGUAGGCGGCCCUGUAAGUCCGUUGUGAAAGUCAAAGGCUCAACCUUUGAAAGCCGAUGGAUACUGCAGGGCUAGAGUCCGGAAGAGGCGAGUGGAAUUCCUGGUGGUAGCGGUGGAAUGCGCAGAUAUCAGGAGGAACACCAUAGCGAAGGCAGCUCGCUGGACGGUACUGACGCUAAGGGCGCGAAAGCGUGG